GGGGGGGGGAGGGGGGCUGUGCUUAUGUGGAAGUGGAACACAAGAUAUGAAGAAAUAAGCCUUACUAUCAGCAUAUUUUAACUAAUUAUCAUAACAACGCCCGUUCACUGUAUUUUCAGCUUGAUUCGUGCUUUGCGCAGGAGGAGCAAAGCAAAGAGAAACCGCUGAGAAUUUCGUGGGUGUGUGUCGGAUGCCAGCGAAAGAUGUUAAGGCUGGGCUCUGGUGGUGGUUUGUGCACUGAAGCUUGUUCUUUAUAUGAGAAGAAUAAGAAGAUAUGGCGUCAGACAUUUGAAUCUCCACAGAUUUCAGCAUAGUUAUGGACUGUUGAAGGAGAAUGAUUAGCUCCGCAUGUGUAGUUGGUUCUCCCAAAAUGAUAGCUACUAGCAAGAUAGACUCAAGGAAGAAAGAGACAUGAAAAUAGCUCACUGAUUCUUGUUGUCCAAUAGACAUGUAUUCUUCUUCUAUCCUUUUAAGUCAACAAGAUGCUGUAAAAAACUCGUGCUGAAAAGUGAAAAUUGCUUCCAGUUA